CAGUCCGUAAUAAAUAAAUUGUGGACUGUAUAAUUUAAAAUAAGAUACAAAGGACCGUGAGUAAACCAAUUUAAUUAAUCUUCCCGAUUUAUUUGGUCAUCAAUCGGCUUUAAUUAAUUUUUUGAUUAAAGAUUCUGUAAAGAUUAUCCUCCUCCGUGAAAAUAUAUUCCUCCUCUGUGAUCUGCAAAAAUAUGCCAAAUAAAUUAAAUCAAAAAUAAGGAAGAAAAAUUAUUAGAAUUUGAAAACUCUCCCCUCAACCCACGUAAAAGAAAAACCGUUCCCCAAAUCUCUCCAACCUCUCAACCAAAUCUUCUUCCUUUAAAAUUUCUGCUCCUCUAUAAUAGUUGCUGCACCAUUCGUUCCUCCCAUCUCUGCAGCAAAACAAGGAUUUUUCCUCAAAUUCCUACUCAAGGACCGAGACAGAGAUUCAAGAACCACUCUUUUCAAAUUGAGAAACCAAGAAUCCAAAUUCAGGGAGGAGAAACCAACAGCCUUGAUCUUUUUGCAUGAGCCGACCUGUUCAGUGAAGGUGAAUCAUCGCAAGUGAAUCGUGAGACCAAAGGGAAGAGAGUACUUGAGAUUUUAAGCGAUCGAGGUUGAGCGGCGACGAGGAUGUGGUGGUGUUGAGCAAGUGAAUUUAAGAUAUUAUU